AUACGGAGGGUGCAAGCGUUGUUCGGAAUUAUUGGGCGUAAAGAGCAUGUAGGCGGUCUAUUAAGUCUGGUGUGAAAGCCCGGGGCUCAACCCCGGAAGUGCAUUGGAUACUGGUAGUCUUGAGUAUGGGAGAGGAAAGUGGAAUUCCGAGUGUAGGAGUGAAAUCCGUAGAUAUUCGGAGGAACACCAGUGGCGAAGGCGGCUUUCUGGACCAAUACUGACGCUGAGAUGCGAAAGCGUGGGGAGCGAACAGGAUUAGAUACCCUAGUAGUCC
rnacentral:rRNA from 1 species